UGCCUUUCAACAUUCAGCGGCAACAAGGGGAUAAGUAAGGUUAAAUUUUGUGAGUCCUUUUCCUAUCCUAUCCUACCCUUUGAGCUCCAACUAUAAGUGAAGAGUGGUUUAUUACCCCAUGGCACCUCUUGACCCAGGGCCUCGUCCUGUCCUUGUCUACGAGACUUGACAUUAAGGACGCAGGCCACUGCUCUAAACGGACAAUCUGAUACAUGAUACUUCUCCCGCCACUGCUUUGAAACUGCAUGUGGACAAGAGCUGAUCGUUUGUUUUAUUUAGUUGCCGGACAGGCCCUUAUAACUGGAUAGUGUUGUAGAUUACAUCAUGAAUGGUUUCUGAAUUUGAAU
rnacentral:sRNA from 1 species